rnacentral:lncRNA from 1 species
UUUUUUUUUUGCUAUUUCUUUGGGCCACUCCCGCAGCAUAUGGAGAUUCCCAGGCUAGGGGUCGAAUUGGAGCUGCAGCCACCGGCCUACGCCAGAGCCACAGCAACUCGGGAUCCGAGCCGCGUCUGCAACCUACACCACAGCUCACGGCAACGCCGGAUUGUCAACCCACUGAGCAAGGGCAGGGACCAAACCCACAACCUCAUGGUUCCUAAUUGGAUUUGUUAACCACUGCGCCACGACGGGAACUCCAGGAACAAAAAUUUUAGAAGACAGCCAUAAAUAUCUUAGAGGAAUCACGAUGGUUUUUCUUUUGUUCUCCCUCAUCUGUAUUUUACUAUUGUCUUCUUGUCUUUAUUAUUGUCUUUGCUUCCGUAAGAAAGAGUCCAUGAAGAUUCUCAAAUGUCUGAAAAUUCACACUGCGCAGAUUCCAAGGAGGCACCUGGCACGUAUGUAUGUAUUCGAUGAGUGAGAGCGUGAGAAAUAAUGAUAAGGAAUGAAGGCCAAAGGCACAGUCUCAUGCUGUGUGUCCCUGCUCGUCCUCUGACCUUCUGACGAUGGCCGUCUUCUGUGCCUGCAAGGACUGAACUCAACGCCGUGCUAGGCUCUCCUUCAGUUGCUGCCUCCCGGAACCCAUCAACCGAUCACUCACAGAAGGAUAACGUGGCAGAGGGGACUGGCCAUGAGGGAAGUUGUUUGGCUUUUGUGAAUCAAAAGCAAGACUCUAGAGGCCCCUCCUGCAGUUAAUUGCAGGGAUAAAGGUGAGUGUCUCCCAGGUAAACAACCUGUGGGCGGCUGUGGAGACAAAUCCCAGAAGACCAGACCCCUGCCAGCCACCUGCAGUGCUCGCCUGAGAAGGCUCCGUAUUCCAGGAACAGAGAGGCACCUGCUGGUAUUCUUAAGUUAGCUUUGUUAUGGAUUAUUCUUCCAAACUGAACACAGGAGGAUCAAAUUGUAGGGUCCUUCAGAGGCUAUGCCUUCAGAGGAAGGGUAAAAAAGUCACACUGGAGCUGAGAAAACAGACCGACUGCAGUCAGUACUGUAUUUGCGAAUACCUUUUUCUCUUUUUAGGGCCACAUCUGCAGCAUAUGGAAGUUCCUGGGCCAGAGGUCGAAUCGGAGCUGCAAUUGCAGCCCAUACCACAGCCACAGCAAUGCCAGAUCUGCACCCUGCUCGGUAGCAUGCGGCAACACCAGAUCCUUAACCCACUGCGCAAAGCCAGGGAUCGCCAAACCUGCAUCCUCAUGGACACCAUGCUGGGUUCUUAACCCACUGAGCCACAACAGCAACUCGGUAUUUGCUAAUAUGUUACAGUUCAAAUGUAAUUACUCUGCCUUUGGUUGUUCGAGUUGGUAAAAAAUAGUAUUUGCUGCUCUUUGAUUACAGCAAAUAGAUAAUCUACUGGAAGUCUUCAUUCAUUCAAUGUACAUGCACUGAGCAACUGCUUCUGUGUGCCACCUUAGCAGCCAAGUGCCACAGCAUAAAUGACAGGAACUAACCUUUCCCACCUAGAUGGGAGUGACAGGGCAGUGGUGCGCUCAGGCUGGUUUGUACCAAUUCUUGAAAGCCCAUUUUUAAAUUUUCAGGAUUUCUGCAAGCCAGCUGUUAAAUUCAACCACGAUUCUAGAGUAAACUACAUAAACUUAUACUUAAAAUAUAUUAAAAAUAAAGGUAAUAAAUGCUCAAAGUUCACAUCCCUUUCUAAUUAUUUUACUGCAUUUUGCUAUUAUCUAUGGUCUUAGGGUUAUUAUUUUUUUACAAUUGUGCCUGUAUCCUGAAAAAAGUACAUGAUAAAAUGCCAUUACUCAUCUCAAGUUGGUAGUGUGAAAUCAAGGAAGGAGUAUUUACACCACAGAAAUUGGCAAAUGACACGAACCAGGGCUUGAUUUAUUUUUUGGUUGCUUGUCCAGACUUAAAGAUGACGGAAAAAAAUGUUAAUGAUGCAGGUUAAACAUAAAAGUACUGCAUAUCUGUGGCUGCCAGAUUGCAAAUAAUACCCCCAAAAUGAGGAAAUACUCUUCCAGUAUUCAAAAACCAUGAUCUGAUUUCGGGACAAUGUUAUAUAUUUGAUGAUGAAUGGGGUGCCUACAUAUGUUUUCAUUUUUUUCUCUUUGUCUCAAAGGAAAUAACAGCAUCUGCCAACAUUCCUGUUUAAAGCACACUCAUGUAUCAAUGUUUUGAGUAAUUUUGCUGAACUGGAGAGUAGUCAAACAUUUACUCACAGUCUGCUUUUUCAAUUCAUUGUCUGAUCCCAAGCGCAGGCUGACUAUGGAUGCAAGAGUCCAGCAGAAAUCAACAAAAGCAUUCUGCAAGUAGCGCAGGCUGACUAGAUGCAAGAUGCAGCAGAAAUCAACAAAAGCAUUCUGCAAGUAGUGCAGGCUGACUAUGGAUGCAAGAGUCCAGCAGAAAUCAACAAAAGCAUUGUGCAAGUAUCAACUAGCUAAACAGACUUUACAAUCAAGAGUACUGUGUAUUUUAUAAUUAUUUGUAAAUUGUGUGCUAACACAAUGAUAACAACUGCGACUAUCAACUUGGUAGGAAAUAGAGUGAUAAGGAAACCUACCAAAAGUGUGAGAUAAGACUGUAAAGCCAGAUUGCAUUCUCCACUAGAAAAUGAUAGCAUGUCAUCUGCAAAUCCUUGGGUGAAACAGUCAGCUCUCCCACUUGUCAAAAGCAAAAACUCACCAGACAUAAGCAUAGCAAAUAUGAAAGAGGAGGCUUGUCAUGGGCGACAGUCCUCAAUAGUUGAUUUUUAGCUAAUUCCAGACAAAACAGCUUAUCCUGCUGUGCCAUCCUCACCAGAUUUAUCAUGCAAUAUUAGAGGCUGAAGGCAAAAGAAGAAUCAAGCUUCUCCUGUCCCUCUCCCUGCCAAAAAAGAUGGUUCCAUCAUUCCUGAUGAGUGUAAGUUUCCUGCAAAUGGUGAAAAAUUUUUGCUAUUUAAUGGUGGAGAACAUGAUGUAGACAGAAUUGUGGUAUUUGGUACAGAAUCUGACUUAGACGACCAAGCAUGCCACGGAGUGUUUAAAUGUAGUCCAGACACGUGCCACCAGUUAUAGACGCUACGUAUAUUGAUAGAAACAGUAGCAUCCGUUGUCUGUUCACUUUACUUCCAGGGAAAUCUGAAGAAAGUCAUGGCAGAUUCAUAUAUAUAUAUAUAAAUAGAGGAGUUAUAUCUAACAGCAGACCCCAAAUCCUUCAUGGUCAACCGUGAGAAAAGAACUAUCGUCACUUUCUCUAAGAUAUACCCAAAUGAAACUACAACCAUGGAUCUACACACAUUUUAAAUGUAUGCAAAUUUUUUUUGUAUUUUCAUUUCUCACAAUAACAUUUUCUUAAAAUUUUGUUAUUAAUUUUUCAUAUUUCAUGGUGUCCUUUUUAUUUUUUGGGGGGGGCUGCACCCACAGGAUAUGGAAGGUCCCAGGCCAGGGAUCGAAUCCGAGCCACAGCUGCGACCUACACCACAGCUGAGGCGACUCUGGAUCUUUAACCCACUGUGCCACAGUGGGAACUCCUCAUUAUGUCCUUUUUAAUGUCCCUCUUUUAUUUUAUUUUAUUAUUGUUAUUUUAUCUUUUAGACAAAACUGUUAUACGGUGCACAACUAAUUGUGCAGCAAAACUGCUUGGGGCAAAGAUUCUUAUGGUAAAAAAGACCUAGCACCAGACAAAUGAGCUGUGCCAUCCUCUUCAGACUUCAGAGGCUGGCAUCACUACAAGACGAGGGAUGUGGGGUGCAUUUCCAGAGACCAAUGAGCCAGCUCUGCAGUCCGGCACUGCGUGGGUUAAAUCAGCUUUUGUGGGCUAGCCUAGGACUCUACCUACCAUUUUUAACAGGAUUUUUUUUCAGGUAUUUAAAAAAUAAAGUCUCUGGACAAGACUGUCUGUUCCACCAAACCAAACCACUGCAUGCUACCCCAUCUCUCAGCCAGCCCCAAAGAUGCCAUCAUGGUUACCGGUUGGCUUUGAGUGGUUGACUCCUACUACCCCAAAUUGUAUAUCUUUCACUUCUCUCUGUGCUGGAGUCUGCCCUGAGUUAAUUAAAUAGCAGCACAGCAGAAAGAAAUCAAUCUGUAUUCAGUGCAGCAGGUUUUGUGGGAAUUACUUCUCCCGCCGAAUUCACUACGCCAGUUAAUAAAAACACAUCCAGGGCUCUGCUGGUGUUUGGGACAGGAGCACUGCAGGAGAGUCACCACUGUCCCCGCUGGCACGGGAGGGACACCCUUACCCCUCUCGGAGUCCUGGCUCCUGGCCCCACCUCUCUCUCACCUUUGGUCCUUCGCUGUUUCCUGGGCUCAUUCUGUGAAGUGUGUCCGCGUGCUGGGGAGCAGGCCUCCCGCUGCAGUGGCCCCCAAGCAGAGGACAGGUUGGCUUUAAUUGUUUGUUAACUUCUCAGGGCCACAGAGAUGUCUGCUGGAUGACAGCACGUGAAAGGCAGAGCCUGAAAUUAAUCUUCACAGAGCUUGGGGUGCUUGGCAAGCUUGAUGAGCUGGUGUCUGCCCUACACGUGAACGGCACCCUCUCUAAUCCCUCCACAUGUCAAGUAAGCGUCCAUGAAGCCAAGGUGGGGAAAAGGCACAGUCCACAGCUCAGAUCUGUGAGAUCCU